rnacentral:lncRNA from 1 species
UUCUAUAAAUGACAGAAGUGCUAUAAUGAGAGCGGUUCUUAAAAGCUCUGCCCUGGUCUGUUUGCUCCAGAUACUUAAUGCACACCUGCUUUAUGUUCUGUGUCUCCUUUGAAUUCUUCCGGCUGGCAUUCUGUGCAUCUCAGGCUCAGUAUGGCCGAGGCACCGUGACUUCCUCUGUGACAGAGGAAUGCAUGUGUCACUGCGAGUCAGGAUUGGAUGGAGCUAGCCGACCUGGAUUUCUCUUGUCCCAGGCACUCUGGUAAGCCCAGGAAGGCUCCUUGUGACAUGACUGGGAAGGGCAGGAAAGAGACUGUCACAGUUGAACUAAACCUCCCGUCACUGUGUUGGCCUGACUGGUAGGCAGUUCUGUGUUAGAAAAGUGCCAGACCAUCAGAGUACAAAGCCCAGGCCUGGUGGGUCGGUGGCACCGUAACAGGUGGCUGUUGAAGUGAAGCAGCCCGUGUAGAUCUUACUCUGAGCCAGAGGAGUGAGUCCCACGUCAGAGUCACCCUGGUCAGGGGUCGUGUUUCCACGCCCGCCCGCCUUGGCCCUCUUUUGUUCCUGCUUUUGCCCUUCCAGCCUCACUUCCACAGCAGUGGGCUCUAAAGGAAGCCUGUCACGGCGGUCACGUCAUUUCCCUCUUCUAUGACAGGAUAUAGACCUGCUCUCCAUGGCCUCUCUGACACAUACCCGCUGCUUGCUUUGUCGGGGUAACUAACAUGAUGCUUGCCAAGUUUGUGCAUGUGUGUUUGCGUAUAUAUGUUUAUACAUAUUUCGAGGUAUAGAACUUAGGAGACACACAGCAGCUUUAAAAAUGCAGUCUCAUGCUUUUAAAUAGAGCAGUUUUAUACAGAAUCUGAGAUUGCUAGCUUUUCUUG